GGCAGUGUGGUGUAGUGGUUUGAAUGGUGGACCACAACUUGGGAGAUCAGGGUUCGAUUCCUUGUUCAGCCA